rnacentral:sRNA from 1 species
GACCGCCGCAGCAAUGCGGCCAAGGCCAGACGGACAGCCGGGUCGAAUGCCGA